rnacentral:rRNA from 1 species
UACGGGGGGGGCAAGCGUUGUUCGGAUUUACUGGGCGUAAAGCGCACGUAGGCGGAUCGUUAAGUCGGGGGUGAAAUCCUGGAGCUCAACUCCAGAACUGCCUUCGAUACUGGCGAUCUUGAGUCCGGAAGAGGUGAGUGGAACUCCUAGUGUAGAGGUGGAAUUCGUAGAUAUUAGGAAGAACACCAGUGGCGAAGGCGGCUCACUGGUCCGGUACUGACGCUGAGGUGCGAAAGCGUGGGGAGCAAACAGG